rnacentral:rRNA from 1 species
AUUGAACGCUGGCGGCAGGCCUAACACAUGCAAGUCGAACGAGUGGCGGACGGGUGAGUAAUGUCUGGGAAACUGCCUGAUGGCGGGGGAUAACUACUGGAAACGGUAGCUAAUACCGCAUACCCUAGGAUGUGCCCAGAUGGGAUUAGAUAGUAGGUGGGGUAAAGUGUAACCGAGGCGACGAUCCCUAGCUGGUCUGAGAGGAGGACCAGCCAAACUGGAACUGAGAUACGGUCCAUACUCUUACGGGAGGCAGAAGGGGGGAAGAUUGCACAAGGGGAGCAAGCCUGAUGCAGCCAUGCCGCGUGUAUGAAGAAGGCCUUCGGGUUGGAAAGUACUUUCAGCGUGGAGGCGUUACCUGCAGAAGAAGCACCGGCUAACACCGUGCCAGCAGCCGCGGUAAUAC